rnacentral:rRNA from 1 species
UACGAAGGGGGCUAGCGUUGCUCGGAAUGACUGGGCGUAAAGGGCGCGUAGGCGGCGGUCACAGUCAGAUGUGAAAUUCCUGGGCUCAACCUGGGGACUGCGCUUGAGACGUGUGGGCUUGAGUGGGGAAGAGGGUCGUGGAAUUCCCAGUGUAGAGGUGAAAUUCGUAGAUAUUGGGAAGAACACCGGUGGCGAAGGCGGCGACCUGGUCCUUGACUGACGCUGAGGCGCGAAAGCGUGGGGAGCAAACAGG